rnacentral:misc_RNA from 1 species
UUUUUGAUAAGCCGUGAGGUCGGAGGUUCAAGUCCUCCCAGGCCCACCAAGUUAGAAUUACUUGUUGGAAUUGCUUAACCCACUGUUGAGAAACUCCCUCCUUUAUGAGAGAAGUUCUAAAAAUGAGAAAAAGCUCUUGAGAGCCUCAAAUGACAGGCUUCAAAUUCUCGAUAAACUUUAAAAGUGUUCGUAAAAUGUUCGUGAUAUAUUUUAUGAAAAUUGUGAUGUAUUUUAUAAAAAAUAUUGAGAGAUUUGCUUUCCUAUCAAGGAAAUUGAUAAAUAUCGGUUUGAGGGUUAGCGCUUUCAUUUAGGGGCCGUAGCUCAGCUGGGAAAA